AAGAGAAAAAUGUUUAUAAGGAAGCUGCUAACUAUCCUUAUUAACAGUUAAAUUCUGUUAUUCUCUUA
rnacentral:tRNA from 1 species